rnacentral:rRNA from 1 species
AGUAACUGCGAGUGAAGUGGCAAAAGCUCAAAUUUGAAAUCCGGUACCUUCAGGUGCCUGAGUUGUAAUUUGGAGAGACAAAUUUGGUCGAUGGCUCCGGCCUAGGUUCCUUUGAACAGGACAACAUAGAGGGUGAGAAUCCCGUGCCUGGCUGGGAAAUGGCUAUCGCAUUGCUAAAUUGUCUUCGACGAGUCGAGUUGUUUGGGAAUGCAGCUCAAAAUGGGUGGUAAAUGUCAUCUAAAGCUAAAUAUUGGCGAGAGACCGAUAGCGCACAAGUAGAGUGAUCGAAAGAUGAAAAGCACUUUGAAAAGAGAGUCAAAAAGUACGUGAAAUUGCUGAAAGGGAAGCGCUUGAGAUCAGACUCGAACCGUGGUGCUCACCCCUCGCUUCUGCGCGGUGUCACUUGCCGCGGUUUGGGCCAGCAUCGGUUCUGGCGGCUAGAUAAAAGGUGGUGGAAUGUAGCUUCCUUCGGGGAGUGUUAUUUUAGCCACCACCUCAAUGUGGCCAGCCGGAACCGAGGACUGCGCGGAAAUUCUGCUAGGAUGCUGGCGUAAUGGUCUUAAGCGACCCGUCUUGAAACACGGACCAAGGAGUCUAACAUCUAUGCGAGUGUUCGGGUGGAAAACCCUUGCGCGAAAUGAAAGUGAACCGAGGUGGGAACCCGCAAGGGUGAACCAUCGACCGAUCCCGAAGUCUUCGGAAGGAUUUGAGUAGGAGCACAGAUGUUGGGACCCGAAAGAUGGUGAACUAUGCCUGAAUAGGGUGAAGCCAGAGGAAACUCUGGUGGAGGCUCGCAGCGGUUCUGACGUGCAAAUCGAUCGUCAAAUUUGGGUAUAGGGGCGAAAGACUAAUCGAACCAUCUAGUAGCUGGUC